CUCAGAUACCUUCAGCAAGGCUUUGAUUUGUAGCCGCGAACUCUAACCACUCGGCUAAGGAGAGCCUCGUAUUCCAGGGCCUCUAACGCAAAUCUCUACUGAUGCCAACGAUCUAACUGCUUUGACUCCUGGUCACUUCCCAAGUAACACAAUUAGUCAUAAAUAAGCUUAAAAUAUACCUUUCGUACAUCGCCACUGUUUUGGUUCGAAUGUAAAAUACUAAAUUCAAAACACCUUUAUAACCGAAAAAGCGCACAAAUGAAUGGUUUUAAAACAUCUUUUUGAUUCCACUGGAUGUUUUACAAUACCUACUUCAUACUUCUCAAAGCAUUCUGAAUUGUUAUAUCAAUGUUAUUCCAUACAUCAUUAUAACCCAUUAGUUAUAAUCAAGUUUCCCCGAUGUAAUUGAUACGUAAAAAUACAAGCACAUUGCGUAUUGCUUGAACUGUUUUGACAGCUCAACAAAAUAAUUUUUGUUAUUGUUAUGCUAAUCAACGAUUUCAAGUGUACGGUGAUCAAAAACUAAUUUCUUGCUGCAUGACAUUUUGCAGGGAUCUUUUCAUCAUUUUUUUUGAAAAUAAAAGGUUGCCUUUGUGCAUAAAGUGUAUGUUUUUUUUUAUGUGCUGUGUUAGAUUUCUGGUGAAACUGAUAGUUGUACCUCUUAUGAUUUCAUGCGCCGAUUAUAUGAUGCGCAAUGGUGACUUGUGUUCCGUGGAAUAUAUCUGAUUGGCUGGAUGCUCGUCGGAACGAACAAGUGAGAAAUAUGGAGGGUUGGAGCAGAAGCGUACAGUGCAGGUAAAAACUUUUGUAAUGAUUAUUUAUUCAAAAUCGUAACAUAAUUCAACUGGUUUGAGUGUAUCUAUACAGAAAAAUGCGAUACUAAAUUUUCUGACCAGCGAUGUAAUAUGGCAUUGCAUUGAUGGAUAGAAAAAAAAACAAAUUUUGGUACAAAGUUUGCGUUUGAUCUAAGUUUUAAAAGCGUAUAAAAUGCAUGUUUAAAACCACAAAAACACAGAAAUAGAAGCAUGCUGUUUCAUUCAUCAAAAAAUGCGAACAUCUUCAUCGAGACUAGAUGUUAAAAUCCCUUGAAAGUAUUCACCUCAUCAUAUUUUAAUUCAUUUUUCCUAUCGCUUGCAUUUUUUCCACGCCUCUAAAGUUUUACCGCAGAUUUUUUUUUGCGUCGAAAUAUUCAUCGUCAAAGAGAAACUAAGAUGCCGUACACGGAGAAACAUGAAAAUACUAGUUAGAGUGAUAUUUAUUACUUCCACCACAUUUGUGAUUUUUAAUCCUUACAAAUCAUAUUAGUUUAAGCUUUCUCAUGCAUUUUCGUAAAUUAUUUCUGAUGAUUCAUUUAUGUUGAUUAACGUUACACUUGGGACUUGUCUAUUUUUGUCUGAUUCAGAUUUGGUUCCCUUCGCUCUCAGUGAGGAACCAUUUUGCAAGUGUCUCUGCUUUCGUGAGUUUUGUCGAAAGUUGCUAAUACUGUUCUCACGGAACAAAAUAUUGCAUUUAUUGCAGUGCAAAAGGGGAACAUCCGAUUUCAAAUGUCGGGACAAACCACUGGCCUAUUUGUCGUCUUCCUGGGAACUCAUUCGUGGCAGGAUAAAGUAAUCAACAAGCGAGUCCACAAUUGCAUUGUAAAUCAACCAGAACCAACCGACAAAGCAGCAGGAGUUUGACGAUUCCACCUUGUUGGAGCAACAGGUUUGGAGGUCAUCUGCAGAAUAACUGAGUUUACGAAGUCCUUGAAGAACUAUGGAAUAGAGUUGUAUAGCUAUAGAUUAUAACGUGAUCACAUUAUUUAUUCAAAUAAAAGCCAAUAUUUGUCAUUUUGUUUCAAA
rnacentral:lncRNA from 1 species